CAGUCGCCGCGGUAAUACGAAGGGGGCUAGCGUUGUUCGGAAUUACUGGGCGUAAAGCGCACGUAGGCGGACUUUUAAGUCAGGGGUGAAAUCCCGGGGCUCAACCUCGGAACUGCCUUUGAUACUGGAAGUCUUGAGUGUGGAAGAGGUAAGUGGAAUUGCGAGUGUAGAGGUGAAAUUCGUAGAUAUUCGCAAGAACACCGGUGGCGAAGGCGGCUCACUGGUCCGGAACUGACGCUGAGGCACGACAGCGUGGGGAGCAAACAGGAUUAGAUACCCCAGUAGUCCCUGUCUCUUAUAA
rnacentral:rRNA from 1 species